rnacentral:rRNA from 1 species
ACUGGGUCUAAUACCGGAUAGGACAGCUGUUUAGUGUCAGUUGUGGAAAGUUUUUUCGGUGCAAGAUGAGCUCGCGGCCUAUCAGCUUGUUGGUGGGGUAAUGGCCUACCAAGGCGUCGACGGGUAGCCGGCCUGAGAGGGUGUACGGCCACAUUGGGACUGAGAUACGGCCCAGAUCUACGGGAGGCAGCAGUGGGGAAUAUUGCACAAUGGGCGGAAGCCUGAGCAGCGACGCCGCGUGGGGGAUGAAGGCCUUCGGGUUGUAAACUCCUUUCGACAGGGACGAAGCGUAAGUGACGGUACCUGUAUAAGAAGCCCGGCUAAUACGUGCCAGCAGCCGCGGUAAUACGUAGGGUGCGAGCGUUGUCCGGAAUUACUGGGCGUAAAGAGCUGUAGGUGGUUUGUCGCUCGUCUGUGAAAUUCCGGGGUUAACUCCGGGCGUGCGGCGAUACGGGCUGACUUGAGUGCUGUAGGGGAGACUGGAAUUCCUGGUGUAGCGGUGAAAUGCGCAGAUAUCAGGAGGAACACCGAUGGCGAAGGCAGGUCUCUGGGCAGUAACUGACGCUGAGGAGCGAAAGCAUGGGUAGCGAACAGGAUUAGAUACCCUGGUAGUCCAUGCCGUAAACGGUGGGCGCUAGGUGUAGGGGGCUUCCACGUCUUCUGUGCCGUAGCUAACGCAUUAAGCGCCCCGCCUGGGGAGUACGGCCGCAAGGCUAAAACUCAAAGGAAUUGACGGGGGCCCGCACAAGCGGCGGAGCAUGUGGAUUAAUUCGAUGCAACGCGAARAACCUUACCUGGGCUUGACAUAUACAAGACAGGCGUARARAUACGUCCUCCCUUGUGGUUUGUAUACAGGUGGUGCAUGGUUGUCGUCAGCUCGUGUCGUGAGAUGUUGGGUUAAGUCCCGCAACGAGCGCAACCCUUGUCUUAUGU